rnacentral:rRNA from 1 species
AAUGGGGGAUAACGUAGCGAAAGUUACGCUAAUACCGCAUAUGCCCUGAGGGGGAAAGGUGAGGAUCGCAAGACCUAUCGUUUUCGGAGUGGCCGAUAUCAGAUUAGCUAGUUGGUGGGGUAAAGGCCCACCAAGGCGACGAUCUGUAGCGGGUCUGAGAGGAUGAUCCGCCACACUGGGACUGAGACACGGCCCAGACUCCUACGGGAGGCAGCAGUGGGGAAUUUUGGACAAUGGGGGCAACCCUGAUCCAGCCAUGCCGCGUGAGUGAAGAAGGCCUUCGGGUUGUAAAGCUCUUUCAGCCGGAAAGAAAUCGCGCAGGCUAAUAUCCUGUGUGGAUGACGGUACCGGAAGAAGAAGCACCGGCUAACUACGUGCCAGCAGCCGCGGUAAUACGUAGGGUGCGAGCGUUAAUCGGAAUUACUGGGCGUAAAGCGUGCGCAGGCGGUUUUGUAAGACAGGCGUGAAAUCCCCGGGCUUAACCUGGGAACUGCGUUUGUGACUGCAAGGCUAGAGUGUGGCAGAGGGGGGUAGAAUUCCG